rnacentral:rRNA from 1 species
GACGAACGCUGGCGGCGUGCUUAACACAUGCAAGUCGAACGGUAAGGCCCUUCGGGGUACACGAGUGGCGAACGGGUGAGUAACACGUGGGUGAUCUGCCCUGCACUUCGGGGUAAGCCUGGGAAACUGGGUCUAAUACCGGAUAGGACCACUGCCUGCAUGGGUGGUGGUGGAAAGCUUUUGCGGUGUGGGAUGGGCCCGCGGCCUAGCAGCUUGUUGGUGGGGUGAUGGCCUACCAAGGCGACGACGGGUAGCCGGCCUGAGAGGGUGACCGGCCACACUGGGACUGAGAUACGGCCCAUGCUCCUACGGGAGGCAGCAGUGGGGGAUCUUGCACAAUGGGCGCAAGCCUGAUGCAGCGACGCCGCGUGAGGGAUGACGGCCUUCGGGUUGUAAACCUCUUUCAGCACCGACGAAGCGCAAGUGACGGUAGGUGCAGAAGAAGGACCGGGCAACUACGUGCCAGCCGCCGCGGUAA